AGAAUCAACGCUGGCGGCGUGCCUAACACAUGCAAGUCGAACGAGAAAGGGGAGCAAUCCCUGAGUAAAGUGGCGACCGGGUGAGUAACACGUGACUAACCUACCCUCGAGUGUGGAAUAACAUCGGGAAACCGAUGCUAAUACCGCAUAAUAUCGCAAGAUCAAAGGAGCAAUCCGCUUGAGGAGGGGUCGCGGCUGAUUAGCUAGUUGGCGGGGUAACGGCCCACCAAGGCGAAGAUCGGUA
rnacentral:rRNA from 1 species